rnacentral:snRNA from 1 species
UAAGGUCAUUGUUUAGACCUAAG